rnacentral:lncRNA from 1 species
UGGAUUGAUGCAUAAGUUUGUCCUAAGAACUAUGAAAUAUGGAUUAAAGUAAUGGACCAUCCUCCUAGCCUUUGUGAGUGAUCAUUUCUUUUUUUUUUCUUUUUGUGUGGCAUGGAUUUAGAAGAAUGGUUUACAUAUCAUUUCUCUAUCAUAUAUUAACACUUACAUUAUUAUUGAUUGGCCUCCGAAAAUUGUGACUUCUACAUAAGUCCAAUUACGAUUUCUUAACAUAGCGUUAAAU